CCCCCCGUAGCUUAGUGGCUAAAGCGUUCGGCUGUAGACCGAAAGAUCCCCGGUUCGAAUACAGCGGUCUGA
rnacentral:tRNA from 1 species